AAAAUACUUCCUCCGUCCGAAAAUACUUGUCAUCAAAAUGGAUAAAAAAAGAUGUAUCUAGAACUAAAAUAUGUCUAGAUACAUCCCCUUUUAUCCAUUUUGAUGACAAGUAUUUCCGGACGGAGGGAGUAUAAG
rnacentral:pre_miRNA from 1 species